GACGCGGCUGGGGAGGUCGAGAGGGAGGGAGGAAAUAGCCCCGCCUCCCCCUUGCUCCACCCUCCCAACCCUUUCAGUCCCCCUCAUUGGCUGAACUCAGUCAGCCGCUCCCUGACGUAGUGGGAGCCGGGAAACUGCCUCUAGACCGCAGAGCAGGGGAAAGACGAGGAACGGAUUGAGGACAAAGCUGCCCAGGACCCGGAGCCUGUCAUGGAGAUGCGCUUCAAGAAAAAUGUUCUAGCGGAUGGGACGGCAUUCUACUUAUUUCCUAGAAGAUCUGGAAUCAUCCCUCUCUCUUCUUUUCCUCUCUGUGGCAGCUGGGAUAAUGGUUCCCCAAAGACGUCCACAUUUGGCGACACAUCCUAAUCCCUGGAACCUGUCAAAAAGGAGAAGGGUGUGAGGACUAGUGAGAUCUUCUGUGAGAACAACCUCCCAGUCUCUGCUUGAGAGGAGGCUAUGUCUCCUGGCCUGGUCUGCCAUCCUCCAGGAUGAACAGUUUCCUUUCCUCAGAGUCCCUCCACUUCACUCCGAUGCUCCCAAAUGAUUCACCGAGCUGGAGGACGAACCCCACUGAACCCCACUGAAAUAAGAAACUCCCUGUUACACUUUGUGCUUUGGCGUUGUCAUUCUGCACCUUGAUUCACCGUUCUCUUGCCUUUCCUACUUCGUCUGGCUCUCAUGUGUCCUGCGCUUAGGAGGUGAUGUGGACUGUGAGAAAUGUCACCUGCAUUUGGAGUCAGAAAGGAAUGGAGGUGAACCUAGUGUUGCCACUUCCUGGCUGGACGAACUUGGGAACGUUACUUAAGUUCUUUCAACCUCAGACUCCUGUGGAAUGGAAACGGUAAUUCCUGACGUGAGAAUUUAAUGAGAUCUUGUUUGCUAUGAUAGUCUGCAUUCUUAGUAGCAAGUGACAGAAAACUCAGCUCAAAUUGGCAAAAAAAAAAAAAAAA